rnacentral:lncRNA from 1 species
UUUUUCUCAUUUUUUCUCGAAGUAGGGUUUUACAAUCGUUUGGAGUGAGCGCGGCUUCGGAUGAUCCACCAAAGCUGACAUUUCUGGAGGUGAGUGGUCCUCUAUUCCGUUCGCAGAUAACAAUUAUAGGGGUUGGAACAGGAGAAAAUGCUGGAUGAAUUUGAUUUCCAGAGAGAACAUUGGCCUACAACGCUGAACAGGAUGAGAAUCAACAAAUCUCAAACCCUCCCUUGGUGCCGCUGUGUCGGUUGCAACCUGC